GCUGCCUUUGUCACUGCAUAUACUAAAAUUAGAAUGAUAUAGAGAAGAUUAGUAUGGCCCCUGAGAAAGGAUGACAUGUAAAUUUGUGAAGCAUCCCAUAUUUUA